rnacentral:lncRNA from 1 species
GAGUGGGUUGACCAUUUACCCGGGUCAACAUAAGGACAAAAAUAGUUAUUAUCAUAGUUUUAAAAUCCGAUUUGGGGGUCGACCGGGAUAAGGCUUGGGUCAAGUGUUAGGAGGGUCAACUCGGGUUGAUGUAAAAUAAAAAUAGUUAUUAUCAUAGUUUUAAAACUUGAUUUGGAGGUCAACCAAGGGCAAGGGUUGGGUCACGAACUAGGAGAGCUGACUUGGGUUAAUGUAAGAAUAAAAGUUGUUAUUAUCAUAGUUUUAAGACCUGGUUUUGAGUUUGACAAGAGCAAGGCCCAGGUCAAGAGUUGAGAGGGUUAGCAGGUGGAUAAAAAUAGUUCUUAUUAUAGUUUUAAAAUUCAACUCAAGAGUCGAUAUGAGGUAAGGUUCGGGUCACGGGUUGGGAGGGCCGACUGAGCAAAUCCAAUUUUUUUCUAAAAAAAAUCAAAUUAACCUUUUUUUGACCAUUUAUUUUUCAAAAAAGUCAAUGAGUUUUUGACCCAUAUUUUAUCCCAGGUUGACUUGGAUUUUUUAUCGGGUCAGGUCGAGUCAAUCAUUCCUCUAUUUUUCUUAAACCGGACCAGUCCAGGCUAUGUGUCAACCCAUUAAGUCACUUAUGAUUUUAUAUUUAAGGUUGCUAUAAUAUUAUUAAUCUCAA